AGAGUUUGAUCAUGGCUCAGAUUGAACGCUGGCGGCGUGCCUAACACAUGCAAGUCGAGCGGCAGCGGGCCCGCAAGGGUGCCGGCGAGCGGCGGACGGGUGAGCAAUACAUAGGAAUCUGCCUCAGAGCGGGGGAUAGCCCGGGGAAACCCGGAUUAAUACCGCAUGAUGUCGAGAGACCAAAGUGGGGGACCGUAAGGCCUCACACUCUGAGAUGAGCCUAUGUCGGAUUAGCUAGUUGGCGGGGUAACGGCCCACCAAGGCGACGAUCCGUAGCUGGUCUGAGAGGACGAUCAGCCACACCGGAACUGAGACACGGUCCGGACUCCUACGGGAGGCAGCAGUGGGGAAUAUUGGACAAUGGGCGAAAGCCUGAUCCAGCGACGCCGCGUGGGUGAAGAAGGCCUUCGGGUUGUAAAGCCCUUUAAGCCGGGACGAAAAAUCGGCGGUAACAUCGCCGGUCUUGACGGUACCGGAAGAAUAGCACCGGCUAACUCUGUGCCAGCAGCCGCGGUAAUACAGAGGGUGCAAGCGUUAAUCGGAUUUACUGGGCGUAAAGCGUGAGUAGGUGGCUCGCUAA
rnacentral:rRNA from 1 species